rnacentral:lncRNA from 1 species
GGGGGAAGAGGGUAUAAAUACGCAUGUAAGGGCAGGGAGAGAGAUAUAGAAAAUCAAGUCAAGAAGUGGGCAAGAGAGAGGCUAUUUUCUUCCAUUAACAUUUUCUUUCUGUUUUUCCGAGUUUUCAAUCAAAAGGGUUCAUAUAGAAUCUUUCAGUAUAUUUAAUUCCUGUGUUAGCUUAUCAAGUGGUAUCAGAGCAAUCGAUCCAACCAUGACACUUACAGAUCGCGUGGGACUUUUGGAACAACAAGUCACAGCCAACCAAUCAGCCUUACAAUCGGGCAUGGACGCUCCACGGACUGACUUCCAUCAGCUGCAAGCAGAAUUGAAAGAGAAAUUUGAGCUAUUGUUCCGAUCAUGGGAAACACAAGAAAGGGAACGGAAGGAAAAGGGGGUGAUCAACCCACAGUUGUCCAACUCAUCAUCUGGAUUGAUGGGUGCGCAGGCAAGUUCGGGGGGAAACCGGGACCACGAAGGCAAAUUUGACAAUGGAGGAAGAAUGGAAUCACACGUCCGACGUUUAGACAUGCCGGUGUUCGAUGGAAUUGACCUGGACGGGUGGAUAUUCAGAGUGGAGCGAUACUUCAAGGUGAACCGGCUGACAGAGAAGGAGAAGUGGGAGGCUGCCGCCGUAUGUUUAGACGGCGAUGCCCUAGCAUGGCUGCAGUGGGAGGAACGCCGGCGACCAGUAGAUAAUUAGGAAGAAUUGAAGGUGCGGUUGUUGCGCCGUUUUCGACCUUCGCAAGAAGGCUCCCUUUGCGCGCAAUUUCUAGCUCUCCGGCAGACCACAACAGUGAAGGAAUACCGUCGGCUGUUUGAGAGGUUAGCCUCUCCAUUACGAAACCUUUUGGAGGAGAUCAUGGAAUGCAAUUUCAUCAACGGCUUGAAGCCCAGGAUUAGGGCUGAGGUUCAACUGUUGAAUCCAGUGGGCCUGGAACAGAUCAUGGACGUGGCCCAGGGUGUAGAGGAACGGGAUUUAGCGGUCCAACUUCGGCCCAACAAAGUUUAAAGGGCCGGUGAGUUUAAAUGCCCCGACAUCACAGACUUCUACUACCUUCUACAAACCGACAAUUCCUCUGAGUAUCACUCCCAACUGUGCCCUUUCUCCACCAAAGAUUCAUCCCCCCUUCAAACGGUUAACAAAUGCAAAACUCCAGGCAAAGAAGGAAAAAGGGUUGUGCUAUAAGUGUGAUGAAAAAUUCAUUAUUGGCCACCAGUGUAAAAACAGAGAGCUCCAAGUCAUGGUAAUAAGGGAAAACGAGGAAGAGGACCUAGGAGGCGGGGAAGGAUCAAGUUAUGUGGCUUACGAACAAGCCAACAAGGGCGACGAGCAGCAAGGAGAUGUCGCCGACGAGGCAGGGGUAGUGGGAGCUACUGUCGAGUUAUCUCUUAACUCGAUGGUGGGCCUCACGACUCUCGAGACAAUGAAAUUAAAGGGAACAAUUGGGUCGAAGGAGAUGAUAGUGUUGAUCGAUUGUGGGGCCUCACACAAUUUCAUAUCUGAGGGGGUUGUCCGGCAAUUGGGACUCCAACUAACCAACACUACUGGGUAUGGGCUUAUCAUGGGGACCGAUUUCACUAGGGGUGGGCGCGGGUCGGGUCGGUUCGGUUCUAACAAGAACCGAAUCGAACCAAAAUUUUCGGAUAUUUAGUAAAUGAAACCGUCGGGUCCAAAUAUAAUUAUGGAACCGUUCGGGUUCGGUUUCGUUCGGUUC